rnacentral:rRNA from 1 species
CCUACGGGUGGCAGCAGUGGGGAAUAUUGCACAAUGGGGGAAACCCUGAUCCAGCGAUGCCGCGUGAGCGAUGAAGUCUUUCUGAAUUUAAAGCUCUAUUAGCAGGGAAGAAAAUGACGGUACCUGACUCAGAAGCCCCGGCUAACUCCGUGCAAGCAGCCGCGGCACUACGGAGGGGGCAAGCGUUAUCCGGAUUUACUGGGUGUAAAGGGAGCGUAGUCGGUCCUGCAAGCCAGAGGUGAAAGCCCGGGGCUCAACCCCGGGACUGCAUUUGAAACUGUAAGGCUAGAGUGUCGGAGAGGCAGGCGGAAUGCAUGGUGUAGCGGUGAAAUGCGUAGAGAUUAGGAAGAACACCGGUGGCGAAGGCAGCCUGCUAAACGAUGACUGACGUUGAGGCUCGAAAGCGUGGGGAGCAAACAGGAUUAGAUACCCCUGUAGUC